CACAGCUGUGAUGUAACCACCCUGUAAAUACUGGCUGCACCCUGAAAUAUCUGCCUGGCCAUUGCAACUGCGCCGUGGGGAAAGCUCUGUCCCUCCAUGAGUCAGUUUACUAAAGGAGGUAACCCCGUGCACGUGUACUUUCCCCCUACCGACUUGAAGAUUGUCCCCUCGCUGGACGAGACGAGACUUCGCCGUGUUCGCCCGAACACAAUCACCUGAUCCGUUAGAGACCGCUGCUGCCACAACACAGUGCUCUCACUGCCUGCAGAAGGAAGAAAAAGAUUUCUUAACGAAGACGGGGGUAGCCUCCCUGACCCGCUCUCAUGUUUCCCGCGGAUCCUUAAAAAGUCUUAAAAGGCAUUGAAUUCAUUAAUCUAAAAUCAAGGCUUUAAUUGGCAUUAAAAUGUCUUAAAUCAAUCUUUCAAAAGUCUUAAAAAUGUUUACACUUGGUAAGUAGGAUUUUGUAAUUGUAAUUAGAUUCAAAUCUCAAAAUAAUUGAUACAUUUUUUUUUUUUUUUAAAAUAAUUUACCGAAUGCCUCUCGCGGUAACCUCCCGCAAUCACUAUAACGGAACCAAAAAAAUCAGUGAUGUGGGUGCGGCCGGGACUCUCAGAGCAGAUGCACUUUAUUCGUGUAGCUGUCACUCUACCUUGGACAACAUGGGGAAGUGUAAGUUCAAUGCAAAUUGGUUGUCAAAUCAACAUUUUUCGGCAUGGCUGAAAUCGGUACCGGGAAAUUUGUACGAGGCACGACGCAUUUUGUGCAAGAAGUGUUUUAAACUCGGCACGAUGGGAAUUAAGGCAGUGGAGUCGCACAUGCAGAGCGCGAAACACAAAGCUUCAACAUCAAGCUGCCAACAAACGCCAGUUGUAGGAACCCUGCGCUCUUCUUCAAGUUUCCUCCUCCACGCUGCUGAGGAUCAGCUUGCUGUGAAACCAGCCGACAGAGAGCAUCAGCGUCCGAGCAGAGGAACCGAGCCGGACCGAAAGACACACCCUGCUCGCUUUCUGAAGCGACCAUGAAAGAGGCUUAAGUCUGAGCAGAGACAGUGUUAGAUUGUAUGUUAUUUUCAGCUUCAGUGCUUUUGUUAGCCUUUAGCCUUUUAAGCUUCAUCGCUCAUGUUUGUUGUUGUGAAUUGACAGACCACCGAUUCCCUUUGUGCUGCUUUGCGCUGAGGAGUAUUUGAAGUUUGCUGCCUAUUUAGUUGUGUUUACCACGUUAGACUGUUUUGUGUUUGCCCCACUCAGGACUGCUGUGUUUGUGCCACGGUGAGUGAGAAAGUAACCCACGGUCACUUUUCUUCCUCUUUCUUCCCUCUUGUGUUACUAACCCACACACAUGCGCACGUACAUAUACACGCACACCUCUGAUAAUAAUGAAUUAUUGCUAAUAACCAACCGUGGUCCUCAUAGAUCUAACAGUUUGUGUCCCGUUGCGAGGCUCUCUAACUCUUGGUCCCCUGUAUUAUUAAUUAAUAUUAAUAAUUUCUUGAUUUUGUAAUUCAUACUUAUCUCUGAAAAUUAUUAAUUAUUACUAAUAACCAAACGCAAUCCUACCAAACCCAACAGAUGCGAUCAUAUAAACAGCUUCACCACAUUUUUUACUGGGCUUUUUGUUUCUACCAUCAUUGUACAACUCAAUGAAACCCACUCUGUCAUCGUCUGGUAGCAGAUUUGUGGUGCUGUGUGUGUUCACAUCACAACACUCUGCACCUUCCAGACAGCAAUAUGAUUUUCUGAAACAGUGCCUUUCUAUUCCAUUUGGUGGGCCAAUGUUAUCAUGCUUCACUGUGGUUGGUUAAGCUGUUUCAUAGCUGGGAUGUAAUCCAGAAAGGGAGGUAAUUUACUCUAACUGAAACUAACCUAGCAAACAAUGGGCCUCAUGUGAGAAUCACUUGUAUGAGCAGAUUUGUAAUUAAGAUGCAAAUGAUUUAAGAACAUUUGGGGCAUUCAUCAAUUUUCUCAUGCUUAGAAUCUUCUCUCAGGUAUGAAUGAAAUUUACAGGUAGUUCAGACCUGUCGUAUGUGUUAAGAAUACAUCAUCUCUGCCUAUAUUCACAGGGGAGAAUCACUUGUUUGACUUACAAUUAUAAUGCCCUGAUUUGAAUUAAUGUGGAGUUAAAAAUAUACUAUUAUCAAAAAUUAAAUAUAUAACUAAAACAAACUUAAUACAAAAUUAAUAUUCUGUUUACCAUA